rnacentral:rRNA from 1 species
UGCCUAAUACAUGCAAGUCGAACGCUUCUUUCCUCCCGAGUGCUUGCACUCAAUUGGAAAGAGGAGUGGCGGACGGGUGAGUAACACGUGGGUAACCUACCCAUCAGAGGGGGAUAACACUUGGAAACAGGUGCUAAUACCGCAUAACAGUUUAUGCCGCAUGGCAUAAGAGUGAAAGGUGCUUUCGGGUGUCGCUGAUGGAUGGACCCGCGGUGCAUUAGCUAGUUGGUGAGGUAACGGCUCACCAAGGCCACGAUGCAUAGCCGACCUGAGAGGGUGAUCGGCCACACUGGGACUGAGACACGGCCCAGACUCCUACGGGAGGCAGCAGUAGGGAAUCUUCGGCAAUGGACGAAAGUCUGACCGAGCAACGCCGCGUGAGUGAAGAAGGUUUUCGGAUCGUAAAACUCUGUUGUUAGAGAAGAACAAGGACGUUAGUAACUGAACGUCCCCUGACGGUAUCUAACCAGAAAGCCACGGCUAACUACGUGCCAGCAGCCGCGGUAAUACGUAGGUGGCAAGCGUUGUCCGGAUUUAUUGGGCGUAAAGCGAGCGCAGGCGGUUUCUUAAGUCUGAUGUGAAAGCCCCCGGCUCAACCGGGGAGGGUCAUUGGAAACUGGGAGACUUGAGUGCAGAAGAGGAGAGUGGAAUUCCAUGUGUAGCGGUGAAAUGCGUAGAUAUAUGGAGGAACACCAGUGGCGAAGGCGGCUCUCUGGUCUGUAACUGACGCU